rnacentral:rRNA from 1 species
UACGUAGGGCGCAAGCGUUAUCCGGAAUUAUUGGGCGUAAAGAGCUCGUAGGCGGUUUGUCGCGUCUGCCGUGAAAGUCCGGGGCUCAACUCCGGAUCUGCGGUGGGUACGGGCAGACUAGAGUGAUGUAGGGGAGACUGGAAUUCCUGGUGUAGCGGUGAAAUGCGCAGAUAUCAGGAGGAACACCGGUGGCGAAGGCGGUUCUCUGGGCAUGUCCUGACGCUGAGGAGCGAAAGCGUGGGGAGCAAACAGG